GAAAUGCGAUAAGUAGUGUGACUUGCAGAAUUCAGGGAAUCAUCAAAUCUUUGACCGCACAUUGCGCCCUUUGGUAUUGCAAAGGGCAUGCCUGUUCGAGCGUCAUGUGUACCCUCAAGCCUUGCUUGUUGUUGGGCGUCUUGUCUCUAGCUUUGCUGGAGACUCGCCUUAAAGUAAUUGGCAGCCGGCCUACUGGUUUCGGAGCGCAGCUCAAGUCGCACUCUCUAUCAGCAAAGGUCUAGCAUCCAUUAACCCUUUUUUUCAACUUUUGACCUCGGAUCAGGUAGGGAUACCCGCUGAACUUAA
rnacentral:misc_RNA from 1 species